CAGGAUUCAAGCUAGUUUCUGAUUUCAAAAGUUAGGCUACACGAUCAACCCACGCUAUAUCAAAACGAGGGCCUAUCACUAAUAUAUUAAGAUAAACAGUGCACAGUUUGUCUCAUUUAUAAAAUAUAAACACGAAUUAGAAGUAAAUUUAGACAAAUACAAACCACCUACUGUCUAUUCACUUGUACGAACUCGACCACAAAUUUCUCGUAAGACAAAGAGAAGAUUAUUUCAUUUCAUCAUUCAAUUCAUAGCUUCGUCAAAAUGUGAUUCGAAUGCAUACCUAGAAAUCAAAUCACAACAGAAUAAAGGAGAUCAGCGGCAAUAUUAAUUGAAAUCAGAUGAAGUCCAGCAGUCUCAACAUCCCAAAAUUAAUUUAAAGCCAAGCACAGAGUAGAAGACCAACCGAACCACAUCAAAAUGAACCCAAAUGAAACCAAAAGCACUUGACACCUUCAGCCAGACUCAAAACUGAACUAAGCAAAUGAUAGGACCCCAAACCAAAUAGGAAUUUGACCCAAAUGAUUUCAAUAACACCUCACAGACUCGAAAUAUUCCCAGGCACCCUCUGAAAUUUAUCAACAGACAACCACAACUCAAAUAAACCCAAAACUAACUCAAAUCUGAAUAUGGACGCCUCUGAAGCUUCCAGCUAACACAUAUUGAACUAGGGGAUGUCAAUUGAUAGCCGAAAGUUGAAAUUUCCCCUAAGGAUUCAAUGGAACAGUAUUCUAAAGUAUUUUGUUUUUAGUGUUCUGAUGAUUUCUACUGUUUUUGUUUUGUUUUUUUGAAGAAGCAGCUAAGACCUAAGGAAAUUUUAGACCUGAAGUUUCAAUUCCAGAUAUGGAAGCUUUGGGGGAGUAUUUUGGGGAAAUUUUAGGCUGCCCAAACUUGGAAUGAAACUGAAAUUUCCAAUGAAACAGUGCUAUUUUUGUGUUUUUGAAGUUUUCUGGUUCUAUUUUUCUUUUUUAAGACUUGAAGUUUGGAUAUCACAUUUCAGAUUUGAAUUUGUAAAGAAAGUUCAGGAAAUUUU
rnacentral:lncRNA from 1 species